AUUGAACGCUGGCGGCAGGCCUAACACAUGCAAGUCGAGCGGAUGAAGGGAGCUUGCUCCUGGAUUCAGCGGCGGACGGGUGAGUAAUGCCUAGGAAUCUGCCUGGUAGUGGGGGAUAACGUCCGGAAACGGGCGCUAAUACCGCAUACGUCCUGAGGGAGAAAGUGGGGGAUCUUCGGACCUCACGCUAUCAGAUGAGCCUAGGUCGGAUUAGCUAGUUGGUGGGGUAAAGGCCUACCAAGGCGACGAUCCGUAACUGGUCUGAGAGGAUGAUCAGUCACACUGGAACUGGGACACGGUCCAGACUCCUACGGGAGGCAGCAGUGGGGAAUAUUGGACAAUGGGCGAAAGCCUGAUCCAGCCAUGCCGCGUGUGUGAAGAAGGUCUUCGGAUUGUAAAGCACUUUAAGUUGGGAGGAAGGGCAGUAAGUUAAUACCUUGCUGUCUUGACGUUACCAACAGAAUAAGCACCGGCUAACUUCGUG
rnacentral:rRNA from 1 species